rnacentral:lncRNA from 1 species
UUGUCUCCCUUUACUCGCCUUUAGAUAGUUUAGAUGGUGUCUGUUUACUCACUGGGAUUAUGUAAUCAUAAUCUCACCCCUCUUCCUAUCCAUUUUUCAAGCUCAGGACAGUUUGUUGAUAGUUGAUUAAGACGAGAAUUAAUCUCGGAGUUGCAUCCUAGAAAGUAAGGGUUCGUAGCCCUACACCUUCUUGGUCAGUUGAGGGCCCACGUG